rnacentral:lncRNA from 1 species
UUUUAAUUCAAAUAUACUUGAUUCACACAACGAUGAUGCCACAAGCUCCAUACCCAAACAUCAGUGAUGAAAGUGACUGGACCUGAAAAAGACUUUGCCUAAGGAAACAAUGACUGCUUCAUAAUGGACUCAUGCAAUUUAGAAGACAUAAUGAUUUACCUUGGUUUAUCAAUUAAAAGUAUAUGUCUAGUCUUAUAGUCA